GGCUGUGGAGGCACCAGUAUUUCUGAAAUUCUUUUUUCUGAAAUUCUUCAGGAAGGAUUUCAGAAAUACUGGUGUCCCGACAGCC
ensembl:miRNA MIR3167 microRNA 3167